rnacentral:rRNA from 1 species
UACGAGGGGUGCAAGCGUUGCUCGGAAUUAUUGGGCGUAAAGGGGAGGUAGGUGGUCUCAUUUGUCUGGGGUGAAAGCCUUGAGCUCAACUCAAGAAGUGCCCCAGAAACGGUGAGACUGGAGUCCUGGAGAGGGUCGUGGAAUUCCCGGUGUAGCGGUGAAAUGCGUAGAGAUCAGGAAGAACAUCGGUGGCGAAAGCGCUCUACUGGACCGCAACUGACACUCAGGGACGAAAGCUAGGGGAGCGAAUGGG